UGGCGUAUGGGUACACCCGUCUACCUAAAGCCAUAUACCGAACUGAACUGUAUGGAUCUCCCAUAAAAUUCAAUCCACUCGUUUGUUGUUACCGUUGUCAUGUUGCCAUGCUCGAAAAUGAUCGAUAUUUCCUCAAAAUAAGAACAAGAAACACUCUUGUGACAGUAGUUACAGAUGCAAGGAAACCUUCGACGUUGAUAUGGACAAGCUUUCAAAACCGCAAAUAAUAUGUCACAUCGAGAAAUCAGUGGACUACUCACUGUUUGACGUCAAAUGGAUACCAUGCAGCGCGAAGUUUGUAGUGAUGGGCGCACGACCCAGAGGUACCGGUAUCAUACAAAUCUACGAAGUAUCCAGUGGCGAAUUAAAGUUGAUCAAGGACAUUGAGAGAUCUAAUCAGAUGAAGUGCGGCACGUUCAAAGCUUCCAGUCUUCGAGAUAGACAUUUAGCUACCGGUGAUUUCAAGGGGAAAUUAAACAUCUACAAUUUGGAAGAUCCUUCAAUCCCAGUUUACAGCGUUGAUGCUCAUAAGCAGAUCAUAAAUGCCAUUGAUGGCGUAGCUGGUGUUAAUGUAGGAUGUGGCGCACCUGAAAUAGUAACAGGAUCCAGGGAUGGUAGUGUAAAAGUAUGGGAUCCCAGACAAAAAGACCGACCAGUUGCUAUCAUGAAAGCCAAAGAAGGUGAAAACCAGCGAGACUGCUGGUCAGUUGCAUUCGGCAAUUCUUAUAAUUCCGAAGAGAGAGUUGUAGCUGCAGGAUACGACAAUGGUGAUGUCAAAAUGUUUGACUUGAAAACAAUGUCAGUGAGAUGGGAGAGCAAUCUGAAAAAUGGAGUUUGCAGUCUAGAAUUUGACAGAAGCGACAUUCUUAUGAACAAAUUAGUUGCCACUACACUUGAAUCCAAAUUUUAUUUAUUUGAUUUAAGAACUCAGCAUCCAAAGAAAGGCUUUGCCUAUCUUGUUGAAAAGGCUCACAAAUCGACAAUAUGGCUAGUCAGGCAUUUACCACAAAAUCGAGAAUUAUUCGCGACCUGUGGCGGCAGUGGAACUUUUUGUCUUUGGAAAUAUAAUUAUCCAGAGAAGAGGAAAACUACUGACGCUGACGGAAUCGAGCAAGGAGUUGUUGGUAACGUCGAUCUAGUGCAGAAUUACACGCUUUCAUCGCAACCUAUUAAUUCAUUGGAUUGGUGUCCAGACAAACAAGGACUUGGUGUUUGCACUUCGUUUGAUCAAUGCUUACGUGUUAUCAUCACUACGAAAUUGAACACAUAUUGAUUAAAUAAAUCGGAGAGGAUAUAUAUAUAAAUAAAUAUUUUAUAUAUUUAUGACAAAAGAUUUGAAUUCGUUUUAAAUUGGUCCUUUUGAUAUUAUUUACGCCCAAAUUAAAUCUCAGUCGGAUUUGCUUGCGAUGAAACUCGUCACACAUCUGGUAGUCAGAUAUUCGUAAUAUUUUCUCGUUUGCAGAUAUAUAUAUAUGGAAAGAAAAAGCGUGGAUCUUGACAAGAAAAACUCAAAUUGACAACUAUGCGUUACUUCAAUUCGAUUGUAAAAUCCUCUUUGCAAUUCGUGUGCAGGUCGAAGAAUCUAAGGCCUAUUAACAGAAUUCGAAAGCCGCGCGUUUAACAACUUCAAAGCGGGCGAGUGAAUAUUUCGUAACUUUCGCAACUUUGGCACGUUUGGUCAUCAACUUGAUCAUUGGUCUUCAUCAGCUUUAGCUGAUAUUUGGCUGCUUUGUAUAUGAAAUUUAAGCGGUAGUCGAUGUAAUAAAUGUGAAUACUGCGUCUCA
rnacentral:misc_RNA from 1 species